rnacentral:rRNA from 1 species
CCAAAAACAUAGCCCUUAAAAAAAUUAAAGGUGAAACCUGCCCAAUGAUUUAAUAAUUUACACUUAAAAGAUAAAUAAAAAAUUAAAUGGCUGCAGUAACCAUGACUGUAAAAAUGUAGCAUAAUAAUUCGCCACUUAAUUAGUGGAUAGUAUGAAUGGUUAAACGAAAAUUCCACUGUCUUAUAAAAUACAAUAAAAAAUUUAAAUCAUAGUUAAGAUGCUAUGUAAAACUGUAAGACGAAAAGACCCUAUAAAGCUUAACUAUAAAUCUUAACAUUUUAAUAUUAAAACUAAUAAAAAUCAUUAAGAUUUGGUAGUUUCAUUGGGGCGAUGAUCUCUAAAAAUAAACAGAGAUAAACUAAUUUAAUAAUAAAAUUUACUGUAUAAUUAAUAAAUUUAACAGUUACAAAGUAGGGUAUAAUGACCCAUUAUUCUAAUUAAAAAAAAAAUAAUGAACAAUAAAUAAAAGCUACUUUAGGGAUAACAGGAUAAUAAUUUCUUAGAGACCCAAUCGAAGAAAAAGUUUAUCACCUCGAUGUUGAAUUAAGAUAACCUAAUGACGCAGCAGUAAUUAAAGGUAGGUC